UGAGAGAUCACAUGUCCCAGCUGAUGCGCAGAUUCUUCCCCACUGAAAUGGACGUUUCUGCCAAAGUCAAUGAGUAAAACUGACAGUGCGGAUGACUAACCUCCAGCCCAGAGCCUUUGGCAGCUCACACCUUUGUGCAAAGCACGAUCCAGUAGUUCCCUUUGGUUCUUUAUCAGCAUCUAUUUCUCUGAUGAGCUUGAGGAACUGUUAUUAUUAGCUAUAGGUACACGCCUUUAUAUCCUAGAACAACACCAAAAUAUCAUUUUAAGUUGAUUCUUCUCAAACAAUGACCAUCUGUAUAAAAUACGAAUGUCUGACCAAGGAAAUAUGUGUGUUUUUUGGAUAAUACAUGCAUGUUUUGGAGACAGUUACACAGAUUGGUCCCGAGGAUUCACAGACUGGUCUAAGGCUCUGGACUCCACCUUGAUUCACCAAUUUGCCUAAAAUAUGCUACAAAAGAAACUUCUGUGUUGCAGAAGGCUUCAAGGUGCUGUUCAUGUUUUCAGAAUGAUCUGCGACAAUAUCAGGUUUGAUUGUGACCAUCCUAUAUCAGAUCUCUGAAACCUUCAGGAGUUGAGGCCUGGCUAGUGCUUGGCUAGGGAUGGGCCUGUGAGGAUGACAGCGUCCCUGUUCCUGCUGUGUUCUCUGCUUCCCGUCGGCUGGGAUGUGAACAACCUCUGCUAUCCCUCUCCACCAUAAACUGUGCUACCACAGUCGCUUCCCUUCAGCGAUGGGCUCUGAAACAGUGAGGAGAAAUAAGCCUUUUCUUGGGUAACUUGUUUUCGUCUGGUGUUUGGUCACGGUCCACACAAAUUACUGAUAGACCAGCUGAGUCAAAGCCAAAGUACAUCUUAAGUAAUCCAAUCUCAGUGUGGCAUUUACUUCACAAUCUACAUUUGUUGUUAAGUUC
rnacentral:lncRNA from 1 species